rnacentral:tRNA from 2 species
GCGGUCGUGGUGGAAUGGCAGACACGCACGCUUGAGGGGCGUGUGGGGCAACCCGUGGAAGUUCGAGUCUUCUCGACCGCACCA